ensembl:lncRNA
AUUAGCUUAGCAUCUUGUUAUCCAAACUCCCCUGAAGACGAAAUUCACCUGGGACUCUUGAUGUCUCUCCCCACUUCCCAAGACUCUGCCCUGGAGAUUCUGAGGCAGUGAAUUGGGAUAAAAGGGCUGAAAUUUUUUAUUUUUAACAGCAUUUCAGGUGAUUCUGAUGCUCGGGGAGGCUAGGGAAACUGACAUGUUCUCCAGAGCCAACAGGGAGAAGAGACCUGCGGGAAUUAAAUGGCCAUUCAAAUAGCACCAUAGAAUCUUACAGCAUGAAAGGGUGGUGGACCUUGUUUAAUCUCAUCCUUUCACUUUACUGAUGGGAAAACUGAGUCCCAACAAGGGGACGUGACUUGCCCGUGGCUGCACAGCCUAGGUAUAGCAGAUUUAGAAUUUGAACCAACAUUUCCUGAUCCCCAAGGCACUUUGCUCUCUUUUAACAUCUUCAGGACCAGCAAGUACCAGUUGGUGUGAAAGGUACAGAGGCAGAAGCAAUUGAGAACUCUGGGAGAUAGCCAAGUAGGGAUGAAUGGCAGCUCUUGACUGAGAACAUCUUCUGAAGUGACCCUGGUAGUAUGAAGUUAUUUUAAAUCUGUGAUAUCUCAUCUGUUUAGCAAUCAAAAAUGAGCUCGACGGCCCCUCCCAGACCGUAUAAUAGGCUGGCUGUUCAAGGAGCACUAGAGGUUUGCAGUUCAAGGCUCACACAGUGGUUCUGCUUCAUAAGAAAAUAGAGCAAAUCAAGAAAGAAACUGUGGAAAAGCCACUCUUUUUAGAAGUUAAUCAAACAGGAAUUACAGAGCUACGUUCAAUUUGGGGUCAUGUGUUUUAAUCACGACAUCUGGCCAUGGAGCAUCUGUCCUUUGGAAAGGAUGAAAGAAGGAAACCGGGGAGGUCCCGCUUGAGGAAACACCAGCAACCCUACCUCAACCCAGCUCCACGGUGGUGCCUGCAGUGUGUGAAUCAUGGCUGUGCAGGCUGUCUCAGGAGAGAAGCCAAGAUUCUGUCUUUAGCUUUCAAAGCAGCUCUUCAUCUUGUAAGAAUGUCAGCUGUUCACUUUGCAACAGAACCAGGCAGGAACAGCUUCAGACCUUCGACUCCAUUAAACCAGGACUUAGAUAAGACAAUUAAAUCUCCAAAGAUAAAGAUAUAGAAAAAGGCACCAUCACUGUUGCUUUUGAGCCCAAAUCUAGAUCAGGCCAGUUUAUUAUAAAGCCGUAGAAUUUUAUUAGGCUUUACAUUAAAUCAAUAAAGUCUAGAGCAAAGUUUGGAGAGCUCUGGAUGUAAUCAUAACAGAUUCCUUGGGAACCAAUGAAAUAGGCUCUGAAAUUGGCUUGAAAUUGGGACUUCUGCCAUGUUCAGAUGAAAUGACAGGAGUUUCAGCCAAGGUCCUCCAGCCAUAAUGAAAUGAUUGACUAUCCACUGCUGAUUGGACUCUGCAGGGUCAUACAGGAAAAAAUAUGCUUCCCUCUCUGAAUGUGACAUUUCCAGGUCCUAUGAUUAGUCUCCCAGGGGAACUCUUGGACAUAAGAUCCCAUAUCUUAGUUUUAGUUAUUUACCUUCUACUUUGUUCCAAGUAUUU